rnacentral:rRNA from 1 species
GGAUUCAACGCCGGAAUCUUACCGGACCGACAGCAAUAUGAAGGCCAGGCUGAAGACUUUGCCGGAUUAGCUGAGAGGUGGUGCAUGGCCGUCGUCAGUUCGUACUGUGAAGCAUCCUGUUAAGUCAGGCAACGAGCGAGACCCACGCCCACAGUUGCCAGCGUACUCUCCGGAGUGACGGGUACACUGUGGGGACCGCCGCUGCUAAAGCGGAGGAAGGAAUGGGCAACGGUAGGUCAGUAUGCCCCGAAUAUCCCGGGCUACACGCGAGCUACAAUGGUUGGUACAAUGGGUAUCUACCCCGAAAGGGGACGGGAAUCUCCUAAAACCAAUCUUAGUUCGGAUUGAGGGCUGCAACUCGCCCUCAUGAAGCUGGAAUCCGUAGUAAUCGCGUUUCAACAGAACGCGGUGAAUACGUCCCUGCUCCUU